rnacentral:rRNA from 1 species
CCUACGGGAGGCUGCAGUCGAGAAUUAUUCACAAUGGGGGAAACCCUGAUGGUGCGACGCCGCGUGGGGGAAUGAAGGUCUUCGGAUUGUAAACCCCUGUCAUGUGGGAGCAAAUUAAAAAGAUAGUACCACAAGAGGAAGAGACGGCUAACUCUGUGCCAGCAGCCGCGGUAAUACAGAGGUCUCAAGCGUUGUUCGGAAUCACUGGGCGUAAGGCGUGCGUAGGCUGUUUCGUAAGUCGGGUGUGAAAGGCGCGGGCUCAACCCGCGGACGGCACAUGAUACUGCGAGACUAGAGUAAUGGAGGGGGAACCGGAAUUCUCGGUGUAGCAGUGAAAUGCGUAGAUAUCGAGAGGAACACUCGUGGCGAAGGCGGGUUCCUGGACAUUAACUGACGCUGAGGCACGAAGGCCAGGGGAGCGAAAGGGAUUAGAUACCCGGGUAGUC